rnacentral:rRNA from 1 species
GUGCCAGCAGCCGCGGUAAUACGGAGGGUGCGAGCGUUAAUCGGAAUUACUGGGCGUAAAGCGCAUGCAGGUGGUUUGUUAAGUCAGAUGUGAAAGCCCGGGGCUCAACCUCGGAAUAGCAUUUGAAACUGGCAGACUAGAGUACUGUAGAGGGGGGUAGAAUUUCAGGUGUAGCGGUGAAAUGCGUAGAGAUCUGAAGGAAUACCGGUGGCGAAGGCGGCCCCCUGGACAGAUACUGACACUCAGAUGCGAAAGCGUGGGGAGCAAACAGGAUUAGAUACCCUGGUAGUCC